rnacentral:rRNA from 1 species
GCAACGCGAAAAACCUUACCCACCUUUGACAUGUACGGAACCCUUUAGAGAUAGAGGGGUGCUCGAAAGAGAGCCGUAACACAGGUGCUGCAUGGCUGUCGUCAGCUCGUGUCGUGAGAUGUUGGGUUAAGUCCCGCAACGAGCGCAACCCUUGUCAUUAGUUGCUACAUUCAGUUGGGCACUCUAAUGAGACUGCCGGUGACAAGCCGGAGGAAGGUGGGGAUGACGUCAAGUCCUCAUGGCCCUUAUAGGUGGGGCUACACACGUCAUACAAUGGCUGGUACAAAGGGUUGCCAACCCGCGAGGGGGAGCUAAUCCCACAAAGCCAGUCGUAGUCCGGAUCGUAGUCUGCAACUCGACUACGUGAAGUCGGAAUCGCUAGUAAUCGUGGAUCAGAAUGUCACGGUGAAUACGUUCCCGGGUCUUGUACACACCGCCCGUCACACCAUGGGAGCGGGUUCUGCCAGAAGUAGUUAGCUUAACCGCAAGGAGGGCGAUUACCACGGCAGGGUUCGUGACUGGGGUGAAGUCGUAACAAGGUA